AAAGGGAGCGUAGGCGGAUUGUUAAGUCAGCGGUUAAAGGGUGUGGCUCAACCAUACAUUGCCGUUGAAACUGGCGAUCUUGAGUGCAGACAGGGAUGCCGGAAUUCGUGGUGUAGCGGUGAAAUGCUUAGAUAUCACGAAGAACUCCGAUCGCGAAGGCAGGUGUCCGGGCUGCAACUGACGCUGAGGCUCGAAAGUGUGGGUAUCAAACAGGAUUAGAUACCCUGGUAGUCCACGCUGUAAACGUUGGGCACUAGGUGUGGGGGCCACCCGUGGUUUCUGCGCCGUAGCUAACGCUUUAAGUGCCCCGCCUGGGGAGUACGGCCGCAAGGCUAAAACUCAAAGGAAUUGACGGGGGCCCGCACAAGCGGCGGAGCAUGCGGAUUAAUUCGAUGCAACGCGAAGAACCUUACCAAGGCUUGACAUGCACGGCGGCACUGCAGAGAUGUGGUGGCAUUUGGUUGGUCGUGUGCAGGUGGUGCAUGGUUGUCGUCAGCUCGUGUCGUGAGAAG
rnacentral:rRNA from 1 species